GCCGAGAUGGCGGAACUGGUAGACGCGCACGGUUUAGGACCGUGUGAGGCAACUCAUGCAGGUUCGAUUCCUGUUCUCGGCA
rnacentral:tRNA from 1 species